UCUCUGUUGGUGAACCAGCGGAGGGAUCAUUACUGGAAUCGCAAGAUCCCACAACCCUGUGAACCUACCGAAACGUUGCCUCGGCGGGUGCCCGGCCUCUGCGCCGGGCGCUGCGCCCGCCGGCGGCCCCCUACUCUGUCUCUGCAGCGUGGCAUCUCAGAGUCCCAGAAAACAAGUCAAAACUUUCAACAACGGAUCUCUUGGCUCUA
rnacentral:misc_RNA from 1 species